rnacentral:rRNA from 1 species
CAUAUCAAUAAGGCGGA